rnacentral:rRNA from 1 species
AGCCAUGCCGCGUGUGUGAAGAAGGCCUUUUGGUUGUAAAGCACUUUAAGCAGUGAAGAAGACUCCAUGGUUAAUACCCAUGGACGAUGACAUUAGCUGCAGAAUAAGCACCGGCUAACUCUGUGCCAGCAGCCGCGGUAAUACAGAGGGUGCAAGCGUUAAUCGGAAUUACUGGGCGUAAAGCGAGCGUAGGUGGCUUGAUAAGUCAGAUGUGAAAUCCCCGGGCUUAACCUGGGAACUGCAUCUGAUACUGUUAGGCUAGAAUAGGUGAGAGGAAGGUAGAAUUCCAGGUGUAGCGGUGAAAUGCGUAGAGAUCUGGGAGGAAUACCGAUGGCGAAGGCAGCCUUCUGGCAUCAUAUUGACACUGAGGUUCGAAAGCGUGGGUAGCAAACAGGAUUAGAUACCCUGGUAGUCCACGCCGUAAACGAUGUCUACUAGUCGUUGGGUCCCUUGAGGACUUAGUGACGCAGCUAACGCAAUAAGUAGACCGCCUGGGGAGUACGGCCGCAAGGUUAAAACUCAAAUGAAUUGACGGGGGCCCGCACAAGCGGUGGAGCAUGUGGUUUAAUUCGAUGCAACGCGAAGAACCUUACCUGGUCUUGACAUAUCUAGAAUCCUGCAGAGAUGCGGGAGUGCCUUCGGGAAUUAGAAUACAGGUGCUGCAUGGCUGUCGUCAGCUCGUGUCGUGAGAUGUUGGGUUAAGUCCCGCAACGAGCGCAACCCUUGUCCUUAGUUACCAGCGGGUUAAGCCGGGAACUCUAAGGAUACUGCCAGUGACAAACUGGAGGAAGGCGGGGACGACGUCAAGUCAUCAUGGCCCUUACGACCAGGGCUACACACGUGCUACAAUGGUAGGUACAGAGGGCAGCUACACAGCGAUGUGAUGCGAAUCUCAAAAAGCCUAUCGUAGUCCAGAUUGGAGUCUGCAACUCGACUCCAUGAAGUAGGAAUCGCUAGUAAUCGCGGAUCAGAAUGCCGCGGUGAAUACGUUCCCGGGCCUUGUACACACCGCCCGUCACACCAUGGGAGUUGAUUGCACCAGAAGUGGAUAGCCUAACCGUAAGGAAGGCGUUCACCACGGUGUGGU